AACGAACGCUGGCGGCAUGCCUAACACAUGCAAGUCGAGCGCCCGGAGCGAUCCGGGAGCGGCGCACGGGUGAGUAGCGCGUGGGAACCUGCCCAGAGGUUCGGGACAACCGCGGGAAACUGCGGCUGAUACCGGAUGAUGCCUGAGGGCCAAAGAUUUAUCGCCUUUGGAGGGGCCCGCGUCGGAUUAGGUAGUUGGUGAGGUAACGGCUCACCAAGCCUGUGACCGUAGCUGGUCUGAGAGGAUGAUCAGCCACACUGGGACUGAGACACGGCCCAGACUCCUACGGGAGGCAGCAGUGGGGAGUAUUGGACAAUGGGGGCAACCCUGAUCCAGCAAUGCCGCGU
rnacentral:rRNA from 1 species